CCCUUAGAUGUCCGGGGCUGCACGCGCGCUACACUGAAGGAAUCAGCGUGCUAAAACCAUUGUCGAAAGGCAUUGGUAAACCCAUUAAAAUCCUACGUGAUUGGGAUCGGGAAUUGCAAUUAUUUCCCUUGAACGAGGAAUUCCCAGUAAGUGUGGGUCAUAAGCUCGCGUUGAUUACGUCCCUGCCCUUUGUACACACCGCCCGUCGUUGCCCGGGACUGAGCCGUUUCGAGAAAAGCGGGGACUGCUGCUGUCGGGGCUUUCGGGCCUUGGCUUCGGUGGAAACCGCUUUAAUCGCAGUGGCUUGAACCGGGCAAAAGUCGUANCA
rnacentral:rRNA from 1 species